UACGUAGGGUGCGAGCGUUGUCCGGAAUUAUUGGGCGUAAAGAGCUCGUAGGCGGUUUGUUGCGUCGGCCGUGAAAACCUGCAGCUUAACUGUGGGCCUGCGGCCGAUACGGGCAGACUUGAGUUCGGUAGGGGAGACUGGAAUUCCUGGUGUAGCGGUGAAAUGCGCAGAUAUCAGGAGGAACACCGGUGGCGAAGGCGGGUCUCUGGGCCGAUACUGACGCUGAGAAGCGAAAGCAUGGGGAGCGAACAGG
rnacentral:rRNA from 1 species